rnacentral:lncRNA from 1 species
GUACUAAUACCACCAUUAAAAGGAAAAAAAACUAAAAGAAGACAUGCCAAUGUACAAGUUACAUCAUAAUUUAUGCAUUAUUUCUAACAAAUCUCAUACAACAUUCAAGGUUUGGAGGUGGUGUGUUGGCGGUGGUGGAAAUAAAGCUUGUUCAUCACCACUUCCAGGUGAAGUUGCUUCCUGAGCAAGUUCUGUUAUCAUUUCUUCAUGCGCCUCAUCUAUUUCUGGUUGUGAUUCUGCUAGGCCAAAGUUCCUUCUUUCUGCGCGGAUCCAAUCUCGAAAAAGCACUGAUUUUUCCAAG